GUCAUUGACAACUCACUCAAUGAUUUAUCUCUUCCUCCUGUUUCAGUCACUGCAUCAAAAUGAAGACACUUUGGUUGUUGAAGGUGGUGAUUUUGGCAUCAAUUUGUCAUGAUUGUCAUGGAGAAGAGAAAGUUGAUCAGCCAGAAACACAAAUCACUGAGUCUGAAGGAGGAUCAGUAACUUUACAUUGUAAAUUUAAAACAGCUUCUGGGCAGCCAGAUCUCUUCUGGUACAUCCAGAAACUAAAUGACUUUCCUAAAUACAUCCUGAGGAGAAGUAAAUAUGGAGGAGAUAAUGGCACUGAGUUUCAGAAGAGAUUUCACUCUGAAUUAAAGUCAGAUUCAGUUCCUCUGAUAAUUCAGGAUCUUCAUGUGUCUGACUCUGCUGUGUAUUAUUGUGCUCUGAGGCCCACUGUGACUAAAACACAUUCAACACUCAUACAAUAACAGAGGAAGCACUCAAUCUUUCUGUUGUGAUCAUUUACAUUCACUACCAGCAAAACAUUAUUGAUGUGGUGAGAGUAUGCAGACAUUUCUGAAUGUAUAUUAUAUGGACAAAAGC